UACGGGGGGAGCAAGCGUUGUUCGGAUUUACUGGGCGUAAAGGGCGCGUAGGCGGUCAGCACAAGUCAGUUGUGAAAUCUCCGGGCUUAACUCGGAAAGGUCAACUGAUACUGUGCGGCUAGAGUGCGGAAGGGGCAACUGGAAUUCUUGGUGUAGCGGUGAAAUGCGUAGAUAUCAAGAGGAACACCAGUGGCGAAGGCGACUACCUGGCCUGUUCUUGACGCUGAGGCGCGAAAGCUAGGGGAGCAAACGGG
rnacentral:rRNA from 1 species